rnacentral:snRNA from 1 species
GUUGCUUCUUGGCCUUUUGGCUAAGAUCAAGUGUAGUAUGAAACACUAGCUGCAUACUAAAUUGUGAUGGUUCUUUCCAGGAAAGGUAUUAGUAGUCAUUUUAAAUGCAUUUUAAAAAGCCAAUUUUA